GAGGAUAUAAUGCUAAGUUAAAGGUAAAUACCAUAUGAUUUCACUCAUAUGUGGAAUUUAAGAAACAGAACAAAUGAGCAAAGGGGGGAAAAAGAGAGAGAUGAACCAAGAAAGAGAUUCCUAACUUUAGAGAACAAAGUGAUGGUUACCAGAGGGGAGAAGAGUGGGUGGGAUGGGAGAAAUAGGUGAUGAGGAUUAAAGAGUACACUUACCAUGAUAAGCCCUGAGUAAUGUACAGCAUUGUUGAAUCCCAAUAUGUGUACCCGAAUUGAACAUAACACUGUAUAUUAACUAUACUAGAAUUGCAACACUUAAAAAAUAAUUUAUUUUGCUGAACCACACCUUUAUUAUAAUACCACAUUCGAUUAUGAUUUUGACUUUUUUGUCACGAACUAUACUUUUAUAAAAAAUAUCGUUUCUACAUCAAAUUUAAUUUUCUUUAUCCCUCUUCUAGGUAAAGAGUCGAAUAUAUGAAGGUAAGAUUUCAGGCUUCUAUUUUCCUUGUAAUCUAUUCUUUUUAAAUCUCUUUUUAAAAGAUUCAAAAUCCUGACGUGGGCUCGAUGUCACAAACCAUGAGAUCAUGACCUGAGCCAAAAUCAAGGGUUGGAUGCUCAACCGACUGAGCCACCCAGGUGCUCUGUAAUCUUUUCUUAAUACAGCUGUUCACUGUGGUUUCUAAUUCCGCUAGAAGUAAAGACAUUGACUUAUCAGGUAUAGUUAGCCCCUUAACUAGUUAGCCCCUUAGCCUUCUUGUUUGCGUCCUAAGUGACAACACAGAUUGAGUAGCCACCAACUGAGACAGGUGACCAAGUAGAGGAAAAAAUCGGACAAUUAGAGAGAAGCAGAUGAGUUUACCUCUGGUCAGAAAUGUUUAAGAAUCCAGUGGCAGGAGUAUAUUGGCUUGACCUGCCUACUGGGGGAAAUACACAGAUUAAGGCACUAUCUGAGCCUGUCAAGAAGCUCAAGGCUUAGAGAAGAAGUCAGAUAUUGCCAGGCCACGUGUGUGUCACUAGAGAGGUUUAAAACAUGUGUUACAAGUCCUGGGUGGAGAGAGCCUCUAAUGCCAGUGGAGAGUGAGUGGAAGUGAACAAGAUGCAAAAUGGGGCUAAUGGAUUGUGUAUAGGCUUCACGGACUGUGCUGAUUAAGGGAUUUGGCACAUAGUGGGUCCUCACAUGCUGGCGUUGCUAUGGGGAAUAUAGCACUGCUGGUAUAGAGAAUGGCAACCUCAGGGCAUCAGAGCUCUCCCAUUGUACAAAUAGCAGGUAAGUUUGCAGUUUGGGGCCAAAUAAUAGAAUUCAAUGCCUGAAGAUUCUGGAGUGCUGGGCCCUGUUCUAGGUGCUGUCCAUGUGCUAUCCACCUGUAAGGUGAGUGUUUCCUGCAUGGUGUUUACCAGUGAUGCAGGUGGUAACCUUUGCAUCUUGGGCUUUCACCAUCUUGUGAUUUGGGGAGUUAUCCAGGGUUCUAGCUACUAAGUAGUAAAGUUGACAUUUUACCCAAGUGUGUUUGAUUCCAAGGCCAUAUCCACCUGAGUGAGCAUCCCGCCCUGGUUCUCAUGGAUGGGACCCUGUGGAGCAGCAGAAAGAUAUUGGAGGCCUCUGAGGGCCAAAAAGUGACAUUUAGAAUACUUUGUCUCUCAGUAUUUGUUUAAAUGUUUAUUUACUUAUUUUGAGAGAGAGAGAGUGUGUGCAUGAGUGGUUGAGGGGCAGAGAGAGAGGGAGAGAGAGAGAAUCCCAAGCAGCCUCCAUGCUUUCAGUACAGAGCCUCACAUGGGGCUCAAUCUCACCAACUGUGAGAUCAUGACCUGAGCCAAAAUUAACUGAUUAGGCGUUCAGGCGCCCGCUCUCUUAUUAUUGUUAUUUUUAUUGUUAUUGUUAUUUAUUUAUUUAUCUAUAUAUCUAUUUAAAGGAUUUAUUUAAUUUUGAGAGAGAGUGAGAGUGCAAGUGAGGAGGGGGCAGAGGGAGAGGAGAACAGAAGAUCUGAAACAGGCUCUGUGUUGACUGCAGCGAGCCUGAUAUGGGGCUCGAACUCAUGAGCGGUAAGAUGAUGACCUGUGCUAAAGUUGGAUCUCAACUGACUGAGUCACCCAGGUGCCCCUUUCAUUAUUUUUAAAGGUUGGGUGAAAGUGGGGGAAAAACGUGGAAGAAAUUAGGCAGGUUAUUUUUUCUUUUUGACUUUUUUUUUUUAAAAGUAAUUGCACUGACUUGUUUAUUUGAUCAUGAAGGACAGAAUAUAAGUAUGUAGGAUGCUUGAUUUAUCUCCAUUUCUCCUCUGGUGAUGUCAGAGCAAUUUGAGCUGUUCAUAUAUUCUAAGAAGAAUGUUGCUUAAUGAUGGGAUAUUAGGGAACACCUGGGUGGCUCAGUCGGUUGUGUAUCUGACUUUUGAUUUUGGCUCAGGAAAUGAUCGCAGGGUCAUGGGAUCGAACCAUGCCUCGGACUCCGCACUGAGCUUGGAAUACGCUUAAGAUUCUCUCUCUCCAUACCUUUCACCUGCUCAUGUGUUCUUUCUCUCUAAAAGAAAAAGAAAGAGGAGAGAUAUAUAGAGAGAAACAGAGAGAGGGAGAGAGAGAGGAAGAAGGAAAGAAUGAGAGAAGGAAAAAUAAAGUGCCACUAACUAAAACUUGCUUUCUUCAGGGACCACAGUAAUGCCAAAAUGUUAUAUGUGACCACAGUGCCAGAUCAUAUGCCUUUGCUGUUGACACAAUGGGUGGUUUGAUUUUCCUGUUUUGGUACUAAUCCUGAGAGAUUGCUCUUUUAUCUUUUUGGUUAAUUUAGAUCAAAUAUCUGAGAAGAUUAAGUACUACAUGAAGGAAAAUGCAAAACGUGCAGAAAAAAAUGUCCAUUUGUGAAUAGAAGGUUCACCUCUCCCUUUACGAAGUUCAUACCAGCGAAGUGAAAUUGAAGUGUGAAGAACAGGAAGUGAAAUCGAAGUCUGAAGAAACAGGCUGUGCAGAAAGAAAAUGCUCAAGUUAAGAUCCACAAGAAUCAGUUUAUGCAAGUCAGAAUCAACCUCCAUCCACCUCCAUCCUUUAUGAGACCUAAGACGUGAUGCAGCUCCCAUGGGAAAUAUCAGUUUUGUCUCUACCAAGGAUGCAGAGAAAGACAAGGUAAAUUCUGUUGCCCGUUUCAGUUGCAAUGCUUUCUGGAAACUUUUAUCUGGCCUUGUCUGGUUUUCUUUGUCCUCUGGUGUCUUUACUGUUUGAUUUAUGUGCUCACAAGCCUCCAGGCUUCUCCAAUGUAACAUCAUCAUGUUAGCUAGUGCCUCUGGACGCCACAAGUACAUGGAGGCUGAGGACCACGUGGCUCUCACUUAGUGUUAGUGGAAAUAACUUGAGGAGGAUGAUACUUCACUGCACCCUCAAGUCUUCUGGAGCGUCUGACUCCUUCUGCACCUUCUUUACACGGGAUUAUCCUGAUUAUUUUCAUUUUUUCCUAUUUCAGUGUAGGCCAUGAAUUUGUUCAGAAUGUCUGCUAUGAGCCUCAUGACUGGAAUUGAUAAAAAAUCUUUCCAACAUUAUAUUGUGUGCUUUGUGCAGUGCUGAGGGUUCUUAGAAAAAAUUCAGAAUUCAUUACUGGUCCUUCUGUGUUGGUAAAUGUACGAUAGAGAAUUUCUCCAGUUGUCCCCUAGGUGGAAAUACUCUGAAUUUUCAGAAGUGGCAUGUGUAAUAAAAAAUGUACGUGGAACUGCAGUCGUGAAGGGAGAGAAUCAGUGAUUACCUGCAGGGCCAGUAUCUCACAGAGUUCUUCAGUUGUGUUUAUAUGAGUAGGUUCUCUUGUGUACCGGGAGCAGUUGUAAUUGGUACUUUGUCUCAUGAUACCUUAUGGGAGUUUUGCCCCUGAAAUUGAGACAUGUUUCUGUUCAUUCUUUUAUGUAGAAUUUCUACCUCCCUUUUACAAUGGCACAAAAUAGCUCUGCAACUCAUAUUGUAUUUAAAAGCUGAAUUACCUGUGAAUUAAGAUAAACAUACUUGAGACCAAUGAAUAUGCACAGGUAAUGUGUUUCCCUCAGAAAACACAUUUCCAGACCCCAUGCAGGACUCCAGGAAUCCCCAUCUCCUCAGAGGUCCCUGUGGCCUUGCACAGAAGAUGUCUUUGUCAGGGAAGGAAGCAGAGUGAGGACAGGCAUGGGAUGGCAGGUAGAGCUUUGACCUUGGGGUGGCCCUGGAUCUCUGUGUGGUUCUGGUCAUUUCUUUCAUUCCUUCAUGUUCUGUCUGUUCUCAAUGUGCAAAGAAAAAGUCUGCAGAUCUGGUGGAAGAGGACACCAGAGGGAUCCUGGACACAGAUGCCUGCCUCUCUGGAAUACGUUCCUUUAUUAGACUGGCAUUACUGCCAUCAAUCUUCUAGAACAGGACUCCUUGGCUUUCUGCAUUUUUAAACAUGGGCAGUGACGUGUGGUGACAGUCGUUUUUCCUUGUGGCCUCUGGUACUUUCAGGCUAUAGGUGGGACCUCAUGGAAGGGUAGAGUUUUCUGACACUGAUGAUCUGUUCUACUAGAACCCAUGAAUGAACAAGGGGCAAGAUGCUGACACCUGCUUCAUUGUGUUUCAGCUCCUGUGGGCGUUCUGCUUCUGUCUGUCAUACCAACACACCUGUCACUUCUGUAGGUCCCUAUGGGUGCAAGAGGACCUCCUUCUUUCCCAGGUCCAUCCCCCACAUAUACCCUUUAUCACUGUUCAUGGGCUCUAUGGGCUACCUCCAGCUCCUUGAUGUUCUCAGGGACAGGACCCACCACCUCCACCUCGACUAUUUGUGAGAUGAACUGAGCUGUAUGAGUUGACACGUUCAGCACGUUCAGCUUUUGUGUUGUUGAGUCUUUGAGAAGACAUAGAGAUGGCCUCACAUGCUUUGUAAUGCAAGGGUGCUGCUGGAUGAGGACACUGUUAAGAUUCCUCAAGUUUCUCAGGACAUACAUAUGUUGGGUUGUGUCAUUUCCAUUACUGAGCUGGGCUGCAUAUAUCCUUUGUGGAGAAGGAAAGAGUCUUUUAAUAGAAAAGCAGGAAUAUCAGUUCUGCAGAUGUGCCCAGUACACAGUCCAUAUCCCUGGCUCUGUGAGAGAUGAGGCAAACCCUUUCUAUCAGGGGCUUCAACUGUCCUAAUGGGGAGAGAGUCACAUGCGUUAAAUUACAUGGAGCUUCUGGUCUACAAUAAUGGCAGCUCCAAUAAUGGGUCCUCAAGUACAAGAGACGGAGACAUGAAUCUCAUGGGAAUGAAUUGGAGACUGUGCGUGAGAAGGGAGAGCUGAGAUGGUGCAUAGGGGAGGGUGUUGGACUCAGUGAGAUGGAAUUGGAGUCCAUUUGUGGCAGGGCCCACAACCUGGGCAGGGAGAGUGAGCGCAGAGUAACAUCCACCCAGAGCUGCUGUAUGGGUUCAAGGAUAGUUCAUGCAGGUAUCCUCUCUGAAAUGCCAUUGUGGCCAAAGUGCACCUAGUUCAUUAUCUAAAUAAAGACUGUUGUUUCCCUUGGAGGUUCUCCUGAAGGUUCUGGAUCCUUGUGAAAGAAUGCCCUGGAGAAUUGUAAUUUAACUUGGUUCUUAUGGGAUGCUUGUCUGCCUAAGUUUGUGUGCCUCUGUGAGACUAAAUGUGAUGAAGGGUUGUAGAUUAGCUGUGUGGCUUCCUUGGCCUUCAGCCUGAAUCAGACUCUUAGCAGGAAUUCAGGGUUGACCAGGAAACGCCCCUGCUGGAAUCUUGUCACCGCACCCCUGAACCUCCUGUCAUGACCCUGCAUUAAGGUUUGCAUCUCUGAAACUUCCCUCACAAUUUCCAGAGGCACUGCCUGUGAUCCUGCUGUCUCAGCCCUAAUGCCAGCUCUCAGUGGGGCCAUCUCAGAGCCUCAGCAUUGUAAUCUGAGAAGCCGGAACAAUGUUGGUCUCUGAGGUCAGUGCGAUGAAGAGGUGGUUAAGCACAUAAGGAAUUUGUAAAAUGUAUGGGAUGAGUGGGCAUUCACCCUUCUCAGGGUGGAAAUGAAUGUAUCUGCACACAGAAGGUCAUCAACAGAUGUUCAUUCAGUUUCAUGAAACUAAGGGUAUAAUGCCUGAGGUUGGGAGAUUGGUAAUUUCUGUUUCAAAAGAUACAACAAAGACCCCUGUAUUUUUUCUAUUAAAAUUCAGGUCCUACUUUACAAAGAAGGAAAAGAUAAGUAUGAGAAUGUGUAUAUUCAGGCAUCUACAUCUAAGAUCUGAGGUAGACACACAAAUGCAGCCACACAAAUAUGUGCUCAUCCAAGGCCACAGAUGUAUUGUAGAAGACAAAAUGCAUAGAGGAGAACAGAAGAUCCCUUUGCAAUAAGUCAAAAUCACUUUGACGUAGAGGACAAUCCGUUUGAAAUUUGGAGAGGACACUGAACCAUUACAAACCAGCUAUGGUUAUUAUAUAUUUAGAGAUGGUGUCUAAUCUGCCCCUUGGUCUGAAUGCUUUCCCUGCCCACCCUGUCCACUCCACUUUGUCCUUCCUAAUGUCCCCUAAUACACUUGUCACAGUUGUGUUUCUGUGUCAGCGUCUGCUUCCAGGAAAAUCAACACUCAUUCCCCAUCAAGCGUACACUUUGGGGUUCCUGUAUACACAGUUAGCCAACACAUAGUAUGUACAGGAUUGGUGGAAGAAGACAGAUCAUUCUUUGGGGUUGUAAUGCCUGGAAGGGACCUAUGGUUCCAUCUGAGGAGUUGGAUACAUCCUUUAGGGAGAUCUGGUGGUGGUUGUUAUAUCUGUAGAUAGAUACUCAUGAGCACACGGCGUGCAUGCUAGUUGAUGGGGUUUGUGCUGAUGAGGAGGGCAGGUAUCUGUCUCCAGCAAAGGGUCUCUUCCGAUGGUGAGGAAUGGAUUCAGGAGACCAGUAAGGAGGCCUUGCAUUAACUCAGCUCUUGUGCCCUUGUGCACCUUACCAGGUGCCCCCAAUAGCACCAAUCCAGGUGGCCUCCAAGGGGGUAAAUGGUGCAGCUUUUGUGGUGAGUCACAUGAUGUCUCACAAAACUUCCCCUGUUGCCUUAUUGAGGGAUGGGGAGGGCAGAGCUCCAUGGUCUGAGAUAGGUUCCUUGGACACCACCCAGGAGAGUUGUGUGUAAGUAUAUGGCUCCUUCUACAUCGGCCAAGCCAAUCCACUUUGCCCCAGGGACACUGAACCCUGUAAGCCCCUUUUUCCUCCCAGCUUAGGGAAGCAGCCAGCCCUCCAGGGGCUUUUGGGUCAUGGCUGGGCCACCAAGGGUAAAUGUCUGGCUAUCCACAUGCUGCCAGCUUUGCUCUAGCAAAUGUCAACAUGACCAGCUGCUGUACAGGGGAUUCUCCUCCAUUGUGAUCGGGGCCUGGGACAAAACAAGACAUGAGAGAGGGAGAGACAGGAGUGUCCUGUGCUCCUUGACAGGGCUGCAUGCACAUAGAAGAUAUACUGAAGCCUGGGGAGAGGUGGAGAAAGAGGCAGGCAGGGAGAGAGACACUGAAUAAGUGAUAGGGGAACUGGGCAAGUCCUGGAGAGUGAAAGGAAGAAAUAGAGAUGUGGUUAGAGAGAAACAGAGACAAAGAGGAAGUACAAGAAGAAAGUAGAGACCUGGUUCAGGAAUGUGGAUGGGGUGAGAUGGGCCAGGGGAGAGGGGAUGUAUGAAGUGUCUCUGAGUGCUGGGGCAGAAAUGGCAGGUAUCAUGGGCAUCAGUUUUCCGUGACUCCAAGACUCCAACAUCCCUGGGGCCAAGCUUUGCAGAGGCUAUUGCAUUUGAAAAGAUGGGUAUCCCUCAUUUCUCCUGGAAUUGUGGGGGCACAGCCUCAUGUUCUGUCAUAGAGAGGGAAGUCUUGAGGGAGAGUGUGCUGCUCAUUGGCAGGUAAACACCAGAGCCUACCCUGUGGGGAGGGGACCCAGACCCAUCUCCCUCACUGCCCCAGGCCCUGUUGGAUUUCCCCGGCACUCCCUACCAGCUGGUCUUCCUCAUGUUCUGAACCCAGGCAUCAGGAAUUGUGUUGCCCCCAGGUCCAGCAGUCUGUACCUGGCAGAGUUGAACUGCUGAUAUUGAUAAAAAGUAUUUGACAAGAAGGUCCAUAUUCUCCCUCUGGAACUAGCGGUGUGCAUCAAGAUCGUGGGUUUCUAUCCUCCUGUCCACUGCCAAACUGAGGAUACCAGAUGGUAGGUGAACCCUUUAAAACACCAUAGUCUUCUCUUACAUCAAAUUCAAAGACAUUUUCUUGUCCUAGCUUUCUUUUAAUUUUGAAGAGAUGACAAUUAGUAAUUGAAGGCAUAAUGGUCCUAUAGGAAUUUGACCUCUAUGACUGAUGGACAUUAUUUCAUACAUCUGUAUCCCUAAAGCACAUUUCGUUGGAAAUAUUAGCCAAGGAUACAUACAGUAAAUUCAUAACAGAUGCGUAGCUCCCUGUAAGUUGCAUUCUGACCCUCUCACAUAUGUGUCAUCAAAGAUAUUAUUAGUGACUAUUUAGAUAAGCUCUCAACAUCAAGAUGGUGAUAUUAGAGAAUCUGGUAUAAAUGGAGUUUCACAGAUUCUAAAUUAGGAGCGAUUUUUAAAAUUUAUAAUGUUUCUGUUUUUCUUUUUUGGAGACAGCCUGAGGGAGGAAGGGGGGAGAGAGAAGGAGACACCGAAUCUGGGGCAAGCUCCAGGCUCUGAGCUGUCAGGACAGAACCUGACGCAGGGCUCAAUCUCAUGGACUGCAAGAUCAUGACCUGAGGGGAAGUCGGACGCCUAACUGACUAAGCCACCCAAGUGCCCCAAGAAUGAUAGUUCAUUGGCAAAAAAAGAGAAAUUAAAGAUAGCAUAAAGGAUGUCGACUUUUAAUUGAAAUAUUCUUCACACAUUUGUUGUAUUAGUUUUAGGCAUACAUUUUAGUCAUUCCAUAUGUCUAUAAAUUAUGUUGUACUUCAGCACAAGUGUAGCUAUCCUGUGAAAGCAUGCAACAGUAUUAUUACAGGAUUGACUCUAUUCCAUUGGCUGUCCCUUGUAUCCCUAGGACUCAUACAUUCCAUAGCUGGAAGCGGUUAUCUCUCUCUCAAAGGUGUCAAUUCUUUAUCUAACCUAAAUAGUCUGGUGGGAAACACAAUUGUUUGCUCAGCAUGUGUAAAUUGGCGGUCUAUUUUUCUGUGGACAUUGCUUAAAACAUUACAAAUGGUGUCAUUAUCUUAAUAAAGUCGGUUUCAUUCUUCACUCAAAAGAAAGGAGAAGGAAAAGAUUUCUUUGUGUCCCAGGCCCUGUCACUAAGACCCUUCCCAAUGUGGAGAACAGGCUGAGUUGCCCAGAGCACCUUCAGUCCCUCAGCUGAGCGACCAGGGCCUUCAACACUGCAGGAAUUCCCACGGUAGCCAGCAGAGAGAGCUCAAGCACCACAGACCCGGAGGAGGGGUUCCUCUGCCUAGGCAGUGAUCGCCAGCAGAGGGCGCACUAUCGGCUUUUCUGACCCAGGGCACUUCAGAGCAGGAAGGGUUGCUGUUGCUCCCAGAAGACUCAGGGCCUCUGCCCCUGUCUCAGGACAGAGAGCAGAGCUGCGUUUCCAGCGGGUUCUGCCGCCCGCCCCAGGGGAGACCUGGGGAGCUUUGCAGCAACUUGGCAUCUCCUGAGUCGCCAGAGAGAAGCUGCCUUGUUGUACUGAGUGCUGAGGAGGGGGCGCUGGGUGGUUUCCCUGGGCAAGCUGGUUGCUAAGCAGCACAGGCCCUUGCAUUUUCUGGGCUGUUCCCGUGUUUCAUUCCUCCACUUCCCGGACGUAUUUUAUUAAAGGACUCAUGGAUUGUGGGGUCCCACGACAUCACUUCAUAGAUGAAGUCGAUGGUUUGUUCCAGAUUCAGGCUUGUUUCCAGGAAGAAACCCUGACAGAAAUUCAGAAGAACGGGAGCUGCAUUCCAUUAGGACGUGAAUACACAAAAUGUUUGUCUCAGGACCUUCUAGAAGAAUGAGCUGGGACCCACUUUCCGAGUCCUGCUGGAACCAGAGACCGAG